rnacentral:rRNA from 1 species
UACAGGGGGUGCAAGCGUUAAUCGGAAUUACUGGGCGUAAAGCGAGCGUAGGCGGUUAUUUAAGUCGGGUGUGAAAGCCCCGGGCUCAACCUGGGAAGUGCAUUCGAUACUGGAUAGCUAGAGUUCGGCAGAGGGAAGCGGAAUUUCCGGUGUAGCGGUGAAAUGCGUAGAUAUCGGAAGGAACACCAGUGGCGAAAGCGGCUUCCUGGACCAGAACUGACGAUCAGGCUCGAAAGCGUGGGGAGCAAACAGG